AUUGAACGCUGGCGGCAUGCUUUACACAUGCAAGUCGAACGGCAGCGCGGGCUUCGGCCUGGCGGCGAGUGGCGAACGGGUGAGUAAUGCGUCGGAACGUGCCCAGUAGUGGGGGAUAGCCCGGCGAAAGCCGGAUUAAUACCGCAUACGACCUGAGGGUGAAAGCGGGGGACCGAAAGGCCUCGCGCUAUUGGAGCGGCCGAUGUCGGAUUAGCUAGUUGGUGGGGUAAAGGCUUACCAAGGCGACGAUCCGUAGCUGGUCUGAGAGGACGACCAGCCACACUGGGACUGAGACACGGCCCAGACUCCUACGGGAGGCAGCAGUGGGGAAUUUUGGACAAUGGGGGCAACCCUGAUCCAGCCAUGCCGCGUGCGGGAAGAAGGCCUUCGGGUUGUAAACCGCUUUUGUUCGGGAAGAAAUCCUCUGGGCUAAUACCCCGGGGGGAUGACGGUACCGGAAGAAUAAGCACCGGCUAACUACGCG
rnacentral:rRNA from 1 species